rnacentral:rRNA from 1 species
AUGACAAGUUUUAUAAAUAUAAUCAUCACUACUUUUUAUAGCAUAAGUUUAUCAAUCCGUGGGAGGCAUAGGAUGAAGAUGGUCUCUCUCAAGCAACCCUGCAACCAAAUAACGAAGAGUCUCUUGUGUCCCCAACACACCCAAUACAAUGGUAAAUGUUAUAGGUGCACUAGUUCGGCGAAGAGAUGGUGA